GUCUCAAAGAUUAAGCCAUGCAUGUCUCAGUGCAAGCCACAUUAAGGUGAAACCGCGAAUGGCUCAUUACAUCAGUUAUGGUUCCUUAGAUCGUACCCACAUUACUUGGAUAACUGUGGUAAUUCUAGAGCUAAUACAUGCAAAUAGAGUUCCGACCAGAGAUGGAAGGAAUGCUUUUAUUAGAUCAAAACCAAUCGGUGGCGGGCUUGCCUUGCUCACCGUUUGACUUGGUGACUCUGAAUAACUUUGUGCUGAUCGCAUGGUCUUGUACCGGCGACGCAUCUUUCAAAUGUCUGCCUUAUCAACUGUCGAUGGUAGUUUCUGCGCCUACCAUGGUUGUUACGGGUAACGGGGAAUCAGGGUUCGAUUCCGGAGAGGGAGCCUGAGAAACGGCUACCACAUCCAAGGAAGGCAGCAGGCGCGCAAAUUACCCACUCCCGGCACGGGGAGGUAGUGACGAAAAAUAACGAUACGGGACUCAUCCGAGGCCCCGUAAUCGGAAUGAGUACACUUUAAAUCCUUUAACGAGGACCAAUUGGAGGGCAAGUCUGGUGCCAGCAGCCGCGGUAAUUCCAGCUCCAAUAGCGUAUAUUAAAGUUGUUGCGGUUAAAAAGCUCGUAGUUGAAUUUGUGUCUCGCACUGUCGGUUCACCGCCCGCGGUGCUAACUGGCAUGUUUGCGAGACGUCCUGCCGGUGGAUGGUACGUAAUAUUGAGAUCUUUACGGAUUUCUUUAUUGCUCAUCCGACUUUUUAAAUCCUGUCGCGGUGCUCUUAAUUGAGUGUCGAGGCGGGCCGGCACGYUWAYUWWUGMMYGAAUAAUBAGUGCAUGGAAUAAUAGAACAGGACCUUGGUUCUAUUUUGUUGGUUUUCGGAACCCCAAGGUAAUGAUUAAUAGGGACAGAUGGGGGCAUUCGUAUUGCGACGUUAGAGGUGAAAUUCUUGGAUCGUCGCAAGACGGACUAAAGCGAAAGCAUUUGCCAAAGAUGUUUUCAUUAAUCAAGAACGAAAGUCAGAGGUUCGAAGGCGAUCAGAUACCGCCCUAGUUCUGACCAUAAACGAUGCCAGCUAGCGAUCCGCCAAAGUUCCUCCGAUGACUUGGCGGGUAGCUUUCGGGAAACCAAAGCUUUUGGGUUCCGGGGGAAGUAUGGUUGCAAAGCUGAAACUUAAAGGAAUUGACGGAAGGGCACCACCAGGAGUGGAGCCUGCGGCUUAAUUUGACUCAACACGGGAAACCUGACCAGGCCCRGACACUGGAAGGAUUGACAGAUUGAGAGCUCUUUCUUGAUUCGGUGGGUGGUGGUGCAUGGCCGUUCUUAGUCGGUGGAGCGAUUUGUCUGGUUAAUUCCGAUAACGGACGAGACUCUAGCCUGCUAAAUAGGCGUACUUUCCGGUAUCUCGAAGGCCCGCCGGCUCGACUUCGGUCGUUGUCGCGUGUGGUUUUUACUACCGGCGUACACAUAUAUCUUCUUAGAGGGACAGGUGGCAUUUAGUCGCACGAGAUUGAGCAAUAACAGGUCUGUGAUGCCCUUAGAUGUUCUGGGCCGCACGCGCGCUACACUGAAGGGAUCAGCAGGUUUUCCUUGGCCGAAAGGUCCGGGUAAUCCGUUGAAGCCCCUUCGUGCUAGGGAUUGGGGCUUGCAAUUCUUCCCCAUGAACGAGGAAUUCCCAGUAAGCGCGAGUCAUAAGCUUGCGUUGAUUACGUCCCUGCCCUUUGUGCACACCGCCCGUCGCUACUACUGAUUGAAUGAUUUAGUGAGGCCUUCGGACCGGUGCGCGGCAGCGUUUCUGACAUUGCCGAUGUUGCUGGGAAGAUGUCCAAACUUGAUUAUUUAGAAGAAGUAAAAGUCGUAACAAGGUUUCC
rnacentral:rRNA from 1 species